UACGUAGGUGACUAGCGUUGUCCGGAUUUACUGGGCGUAAAGAGCGCGCAGGCGGUCGUUCAAGUCGAGUGUGAAAGCCCCCGGCUCAACUGGGGAGGGUCACUCGAUACUGAUCGACUUGAAGGCAGGAGAGGGAAGCGGAAUUCCCGGUGUAGUGGUGAAAUGCGCAGAUAUCAGGAGGAACACCGGUGGCGAAGGCGGGUCUCUGGGCCGAUACUGACGCUGAGGAGCGAAAGCGUGGGGAGCGAACAGG
rnacentral:rRNA from 1 species